UACGUAGGGUGCGAGCGUUGUCCGGAUUUAUUGGGCGUAAAGGGCUCGUAGGCGGCCUGUCGCGUCGGGAGUGAAAGCCCACUGCUUAACGGUGGGUCUGCUUUCGGUACGGGCGGGCUAGAGUAUGGCAGGGGAGACUGGAAUUCCUGGUGUAGCGGUGGAAUGCGCAGAUAUCAGGAGGAACACCGGUGGCGAAGGCGGGUCUCUGGGCAAUUACUGACGCUGAGGAGCGAAAGCGUGGGGAGCGAACAGG
rnacentral:rRNA from 1 species